CUGCAUUCGGACAGCAGUUUCUUAUACUUUUCGGUCUGGUUAAGCUGCCAAAGGUGGGCAUCCAUCGCCAUUUGGCCACCCAAAGGUUUCGUGAGGACCAACACAUCGCCGGGCUGCGCGUUCGACGGUCUAAAUGGGCAUGACAGAUGUGGCUAUGCCACCAAUAAUGCACCAGGGAUUGAUCUUCAAUUGCCGAAUAAUCAGCGGGGUAUUACGAUAGCCAUUUGCCUUCAGGGAGUUUUGGAAACCCUUCAUCACCAAUCCAAUCACUACGUCGCGUUCUUUUUCGCUGAAGCUCGUGGAAGUGCUGACGAUCAUCUCCACGGUAUCAAACUGCGUCACCCCAACCGCAUAGACAUCACUCAAGACAUUAGCUAGCGCAAUACGGCCCAGUAAUUCGGGAUCAUUGACCAUGGGAUAGAAGAAGUCAACGGUUUGAAUAAGCAAAUAGUCCUUGUGCCGCUUGAGUGGUAUGACUGCACAGUCCAUUCCAGAGCCUGAAAAUAUGAUUUCCCAUUAGGAUAAUCCCCAGAUCUGCUGAUAGUACUAUCUCUCACCGAUAAGGUAUCCAUCAUUGUUCUUAUUUUCUAUUUCUGUUCCCCUUAGGUACUUCUCCAGUACUUUUUGGGGGAUUUUGCAACUUCACCCGGUGUGGGUGGUAAACUUAGUAAGCUGAAAGUCGGGCGAAAGCCCAUGUUUUUCUGGUUGAAACAUUGUGCGCGAAUUUCUACGCACCGGUUUUAUAAACAGCUGAGAAUAUAAAAUAUCGUUUUCUAAGCUAGUGGCGGCACUUUAAUACCUAUCGAUAUUCCUGGUAUUCCAGAUGGGAGAUUCCAUAUCAGUUUUUAAGGCAAAGAUCAGCUGAUAUCAGCUGACUUUGCUUAAAUAAGAAAGCUUCUAUAUUAAAUAAAUUAUAUAUAUAAAAGUGGAAUAUUUUUGUAUCAGUUUUUCCAAAACAUCGAAAUAAAUAGUUGACGUUUUUAAAAGCUA